UACGUAGGGGGCAAGCGUUGUCCGGAUUUAUUGGGCGUAAAGAGCGUGUAGGCGGCCAUACAGGUCAGCUGUGAAAACUCGAGGCUCAACCUCGAGACGUCGGUUGAAACCGUAUGGCUAGAGUCCGGAAGAGGAGAGUGGAAUUCCCGGUGUAGCGGUGAAAUGCGCAGAUAUCAGGAGGAACACCAAUGGCGAAGGCAGCUCGCUGGGACGGUACUGACGC
rnacentral:rRNA from 1 species